ensembl:lncRNA
CUGGUGAGUGUGUAUUCUUGUUCAAAGGAGGUCACGGGCCAAUCAGCUCGGGUUUUUUUUCCUCUAUAGAGAUGUUCCCAUUGCUAAGUUCAAAUGAGUCAAACCGGAAGAUAGCCAUUGCCAAUAUGUGUGUAAGUAGGUGUGGGACAAGACAUAGCCCAGCACCUAUAAUACCAUAAAGCAGCUCCUUGCUAGCAGCUCCCCAAAUCGCGGGAGCUCUAAGGCGUCCUCGCCGAGCAGGGAGCCAGGCUUUCCCAAAGCAAACUUACAUAAGCAGCCGCAGCCGCCUCCUUAUUCCGGAGCAGCUGCGACAAUGGCGGCCACACCACUUCCCUGUUGCGACCGCACAACUUGGGAGUGGGGAAUCCGGGACCCCGCGCAAGACCUGGGGCGCAGUCCGCGCGUGGGGAGCCCACACUCGCAUUUCGAAGCCCGUGAUCAGCCGGGUGCAACGAGCCCUCAGCAUUCUUUCCUAAACAAAAGCUCCCCUGAGCGGUGCCCGCCAGCGACAGGCCACCUUCCCUUCCACCAUCCGCCACUUCUCCAGGUCGCGGCGCGGGCGCGAGGCUCUUCUUUGGCCCGCAGCAGCCCCGGCGGCGCGACAAGCUCGGGAGCGGGCAUGCGGCCGGUUCCGCAGCCCCGCGCCGCGCCGCGCCCUGCUCCGCCCGCGAGCCCGGAGCUCGCGCCCCGCGCACUCCGCGGCCUGCGCGUCUGGUCCUCCCGCGCCCUCCCGCGGCCAGGGGCGGGGGCGGCGCGCGGCCGGCUCCCCGGAGCUCCGCGGACGCAGGCGGGGAGCGUGCGCGGGGGUCCCGUCUGCUCUGGAGGGUAUGGCUGCGAGGGGCGGCGCCCCGCGGGCCGCGCUCGGGCCCGGCUCGGCCGUCCCCACCCCCACCGCGGUGCACUGCGGCGCGGAGAGCCGGGCGGCCAUGAACUCGGCCGCGGAGCGCGCGCGCGGGCCGCCGCCUGGCCUCUCCCCACCCGCUCGCUGGCCUGCGCGGUCCCCGGGGCGCUCGGCCCCCACGCCCAACCGCGGCCCACGCCCGAUCCCGCUCGCACCGCGCUGCGCCGCCACAUCCUGCAGCUGGCUGCUGCCCGAGCUCGGCGGGAACGCGCCUCCUCUCAGCCGCCCCGCCGCGCCCGCCGCCGGCUGCCCCCGCGUCCCCGCGCCCGCCCCGGCCCUUUCCGCACCCGGCCCGCGCUUACCUGCAGCUUGGCACAGCUACAGACGCUCGCCGUGGGCUCCCGCGUUCGGCAGCGCGCAAGCCAGGACGGGAUGGAGUGGGGGCACGGAACCCUCAGGUCACCGCUUCUUCUGCUGCCUUGAAUGACAAACGUCUUAGAGGAUGCGACCAGUUGCAAACGAACUGAACCUAGCCAACUCCAGGUAGGCCACAGCUCAACAAAGGAAAACAAAAGCCUCACCUAGCGCUCAUACUGCAACAUUUCCCAACCCACAAGGGAGGGAGGAAGAGACUGCUAUGAGAGGAGAUAGACCUUGAGCACUUGGCACUUGGCCAUGGGAAGUAGACCCUGAGGACAGGCUGACGGAACAGAAAUAAUCCGGCAGGACUGAAAAGAAACAGCAAGUAACAAGAGACAUAGGGCUGGGAAAUUAGUUAGAAUAACUCACAGCCUGCCCAAUCUGGGCUUAGUGCAUGUGAAUAAAACACCAGGAUUUUGUGUCUUUUACAUGGGCUAGCUAGAAUAAAUAUUAUGUUUACAACAGAUCAGAACGCUAUUGCUGCAUUAAUGGAACAUUUCGGGGGUUUUGUUAGGAAUGAAAAUACUUGCUGCACGUUGAGUCAGAUGGAGGCACUUUAUUAGAUUUAAUCUCAUUAUAAAACAUCCUGAGGAAUAAUUAUAUCAAACGAACCUCUGAGCCAUUCUCUUAAUCUCUGUAUUGAUACGGACUAGGGAAGAAAUUCCAGUUACUCUGAUAGGAAGGUUGAAUAGAAAGGCCAGGCCUUCCAUCAAGUGACAGAAAUACCUGAUCAAAUAACACAAGAGAACAACGGUUUUCUCCAGCUCCAAGUUUUAGGAACUUAGGACCACAGUCCAUGUGAGAGCACCGUGGUUGCUUCGCCACCAAGGUGCGACAGAAACCACAGAGCUGGGAGCGUGCCCUAAGGAGACACUCACCACACUAUGUGCAGGGAGCAGUGAAAAGGGAGAUUGGUCAAUGGACAAGAUGCAGCCCUGACGUUGUUCUCCAGGUAGCCCCCACAAGCCGGGGUCCAGACUCUCUACUAUGCAAACAUGUAAGGGACAGACUAUACCUCAAACUAUAAUUACAUACAGAAUAUGUAAUGACUAUUCCUGGUUGCCACCUUGACUGUAUCUGGAAUGAACUACAACCCAGAGUUGGGAGGGCUCACCUGUGAUCAAUGAAUCCUCACUGGACAAAAUCACAAUACCCAGGUGUCUGUGUUCUCACUCUAGCCUAAGGAACUAAGUUUAUUCUUGACUCAAAUGUGAGUGAUCAGAAUGUGAGGCUUCAGAUGACAAGGAACAAUUCAGUGAUUCCAAUUCUCUGGAGUUUUUACAGUUGUAGGCUGGGAGACACAAGUUUCUGACCUGGGUCUUGGCAUGAAGGUCUUGGGGCACAGUGGCCAUGGAAAGCUUAGACCCAGGCAAGGUAGCAGACGCUUUUAAUCCCAGGAGAGUGGGGCAAGAAGAUCUCUGAGUUCAAGGUCUGCCUGGGACAAAACAAGUCCCAGAUCCAGGCGUGGUGGUGCACACCUUAAUCUGGGCCACACCUUCUGCUGGAGAACUACAUGAAGACAUUGGAAGAAGGAAGACUCACUCUUUGCCUGCUUGCACUGACUUGCCAGCACAUCUGUUGGAACCGAUUUCUACAGAAGACCAGCUGAAACAACUCACCUCGUGGGACUGAGCAACUACUAGGUCCUUGGACUUCCCAUCCACAGCUGCCCAUUGUUGGGGAAAUUGGAUUACAGACUGUAAGUCAUCACAAUAAAAUCCCUCAAUAUAGAGAGACAUCCCAUACGUUCUGUGACUCUAGAGAACCCUGACUAAUACACCAUGCAUAGCCUUCUGUGUGUUGAGUCCCAAAAGGCUAAUGCCCAUCUCACUGUGCAAAAUAUAAGUAGCCAGUCUCUAAAAGCCCUGUAGUCGCAACAGUUCUGGCGUUGGUCAGAAGGCAGAGCUGAAACUCUUGUUUGAGAGCCAGAGAAAACUCACAGCCAUGAGCUUCUGUAAAAUCACAAAUCAUAUAUGGCCAGGGUAUAGAGUAAACGUUUCCAUUCGAAGAGGGAAGACUAGGAGGGAUUUAAGGAGGGCACACGUUCAAAGCGAGACUGAAACUUAGCCCGGAAGUCAUUAAGUCCUGUAGCUUUGUGUCCUGUGUAUGGGGCGCUUGAUGUCAUGGUAGGGGCAGAGUGUGUGUAGACCAUGUGACUAGCUCUACUGGUCUCUUGCAGCCUCCCUAGGCGAUGUCCCAUAUUACAUCUUCCAGGGUCUUCACUGCAGCCUGUCAGAAACUUUCACGGUUGCCUCAAAGGUUUUCGUCACCGAAUUCCAACACAACUGACUUUCCAAAGAAACCAUUGGUUUCCACUUCAGUGUGAUUUAGUGAACUAUUAUUUUUCAACGAUAUGGUCAUAUUCAUUCCAUUUUUAAAUUUAUACCUCCUCAUUUUAUAUGACUCUGCCUUACAGUUUCCAAGGAUAUCAUAAAAAAAUUGUACAUGUAUUUAAUUCUUUUUUAAAUGGUAUGGUAAACAUCUUAUUUUGUUAUUAAUAUAUGUGUCGUCGUAUUUAAAGUGGGUUUUAUGGUAGUUUUUGUUUGUUUUUUAUUUUAAUCCAAAGAAACAUGCCCUUUUAAUGUUGGUGGACUCACAACAUUGGUGAAGAUGGUUUUUGAUACAAUUGAAUUAAUAUAAACUGUUUUUGACUAUUUUGCAUUUGCUAUCCUUGUAUACCACCCCCUGCCCCCAGGCCUCCAAGGCAAACCCAAAACCAAAACCAACCAGCCAAAUCAAACCAAAGCAAACUGAUCCAAAUGAACGAGAAGCCCAACUGAAGAAACUAGACUUUCCAUAAAGUAGUAAGGUCAGGAAAAGGAACCACUGUAUAGCCGUGGAUUGAGUCUGCCCUUCCUAGGACUUGACCCUAUGAACUUCACCCACACUCAUAGUUUCACCAUCCCUGUCUUCCUGGGUGGAACACAGUGUCCGUAGCGGGCUGACAUUUUAAUUUGUUUAACUUUCUGGAAAUCUUGUUGUUGUUGUUUUUAUUUUUUUGGUUUUUGUUGUUGUUGUUUGUUUUUUGUUUUUUUUCUCCAUCAGGUCAUUCAGGCUCUGAUAAAACCGGAGGAGGCUAGGAAUUAGUUUGAAGAUCACAGGACUCCUGAAUGGGAGGUGGAAUUCACAGUGGUUAGAUUGGAACUUAGCUUCCAUUUCUAUUUACCACUGCUAAUCUUCCCACCAUCUGCCCAAUGUUCUUUCUCCCUUUUCUCUCCAUUCCUAUGUACACAUUUGCUCUGACCCAGUUUGCUACAAAGAGAACAUCACAGUUACAGUAUUUCCCUCCAAACACCCAGAUGUGUGUUUCCUUUUUUAAAAGGCGACAGUACCUUACGUUAUUACCACAGUGAGCAAAGGCAAGUAGCUGAUGCCCGGGAGAUGCUGUAAUCUAACCCACGCCUCAAGUAUCCCGGCUCCCCACACAUCCAGUGCUUCUGUUACUAUUACAUCUGGUUGUCAAGGGUUAACACUUCCACCGCUCGCUUCUGAGCUCACCUUUGUGGCUUUUGGUACUUACAGAGGCAUCUUCUAAAUUCUGUGGUUCCUGUUAUGGGGGAAAUACCUCACUGCAGUAUUUAGCGUUAUUUUAAAUUCCACACAGAAGGACGUGGACCCUUUCACCAAGCUCCAGUCACCCCUAUUGCCAGAGGCACAUCCUAGAGCCACACCUUUCUGAAACCUGAGAAUAAUUUUUGUUGCUUUUCUUUCUCUCUUCCUGCCUGCAAAGCUCCACCACUUGACUCCACGGUGGAGCACUGAGCCACACUUUGGAAGCUUUUCUUUUUAAAAUUUUCAGAGGACAGACCAGAAGACUUGAAUUUUUGUCAUCGGUCAAGGACUGUUUCAUGUAAGAAAGGAAAGUGUGUAUUCUUACGUUAAUAUCCCACAUGUUAUAUUCCUGUUGAGAAGCAGGUUUUUGAAGCUGAAUUUAGUUUCCCCUUCAUUGCGGCGGACACCUGAACGGUGGACUCCUGAACUGUGUGGAGGAGCGCUUCACCAGUCUGCCGGAUGGUGCGUACAGCACAGUUACCCUUGUGGUCUGGGACAGUGUCCAAGCGACCACUCAGGUCCUUUGGACUGUGACACUCUAUAGGACUGACAAAGUGGAAUUCAAGUUAUGUCUAUUAUAGAUGCUAAACUGAAGCACCUACUGAUCUCUACCUACAUCAGAUUAAUGCUCUGUGUCCCAAAUGUUCGUCAGUGUUGUGUGACGGUGUUUAGAAAUUGGCCUAUCAUAUCAGUACCUUCAGGCAUGUGAUAUAAAACCGCUAUGUGAUGUUACUUAUGGUAUUUAAUGAACUGCUCACUCUACCUUUUAUACGUGAAACUAGUUCAUCAGCGUGGUACAAAAUUUAAUAUUUUAUCAAAACUAUCAUUCUGCCAAAUAUUGUUAAACUAAUUUUAAAGGGCUGAAUGCAUUAGCAUUUACUGCAGGUGAGCAAAAAAAAUUUAUUUUGCUUUUCUGGAAAUCAAAAGGUCAUGCUGUCUUGCCAGCCGUGAGUACCCCAAAUGUCAAUAUAAUUAAUAGAUAAUUGAAAUAAAAAUUUCGUCAACUGGCAUCUGUAAUUCAGCUCCAUAUACAACUUCGUCCUUUCCAACCCUGGUGUACAUGGUUGUGCCCCUUCACAUUUGGGCUGUACGUUCCACAUAUAUUUAGGUUUGUAUUACCUAAACAAACUUGUUACAGCUGGUGAAACAGCCAUCGAACUAGCCCAUCAAUGUCACGGUAUUUAGUUUCUUAUCGACGUCAAAACAGUGUCAGUUCACAAACUUAGUGUAUAAAUUGUUCAAGUAAAGACAUUGAAGAAAAGCAGCUUACAGCAAGGGGUGGCUCCUUACCUGGUGUCUGGGUGCUGAGCUCGAACCACGUGUCACUGCCUAUCAACCAACAUUCCAGGAGCAGGCUGCUUCAUGCGUGACUCACGAUGCAGUUUCCGUAUUUCUGCAACCAGAAGAAAGAUAGCCCUUCCUCAAGGGCCGAUCAGUUCAAUAAGUGGAAAUACGUAGAUUUUCUUUGUGAUAUACAUAGAUUUGUUCUAGACUGUCUUGCAGAUUCGCUCAUAUAUCCAAAAGAUGCCCCGCCAUGCCACGGGAACACGUGCUGCACUCUGUUCCUCAUAGUGGCCUCAUUUGUAACAGCUGGAAGCUGGAAACAACCCAGAUGUCCCUCAACAGAAGAAUGGAUACAGAAAAUGUGGUGCUUAUACACCAUGGAAUACUAUCCAGCUAUUAAGAAUGAGGACGUUAUGAGUUUUGUAGGCAAAUGGAUGGAACUGGAAAAUAUCCUGAGUGAGGUAACCCAGACCCAAAAGGACAUGCAUGGUGUACAUUCACUGAUAAGUGCAUAUUAGCCAAAAAAGUACAGAAUACAACCCAAUCAUUUUAAUAAAAUUUCAUGCAAUGUAAAAAAAAAGUGUACAACUAAGAUAAAUAUCUACGAGAUAUAUUCAAGUGAAAAUUCAUAGAGAUGGUAAAGAAGUUGGGUAAUUCAUUCUAAAUUUCCAAGAGAGAGA